rnacentral:rRNA from 1 species
UAGAGGCCUACCAUGGUGGUAACGGGUAACGGGGUGUUAGGGCACGACACCGGAGAGGGAGCCUGAGAAACGGCUACCACAUCCAAGGAUGGCAGCAGGCGCGUAAAUUACCCAAUCCCGACACGGGGAGGUAGUGACAAUAAAUAACAAUACGGGGUUCUUUAGGAUCACGUAAUUGGAAUGAGUACAAUUUAAAUCUCUUAACGAGGAACAAUUGGAGGGCAAGUCUGGUGCCAGCAGCCGCGGUAAUUCCAGCUCCAAUAGCGUAUAUUAAAGUUGUUGCAGUUAAAAAGCUCGUAGUUGAAUUUCGGGGUUAGUAGGUUGGUCAUGCCUCUGGUAUGUACUGGUCUCACUGAUUCCUCCUUCCUUAUGAACCGUAAUGCCAUUAAUUUGGUGUUGCGGGGAAUUUGGACUGUUACUUUGAAAAAAUUAGAGUGUUUAAAGCAAGCUAACGCUUGAAUACAUUAGCAUGGAAUAAUGAAAUAGGACGUUCGAUCUUAUUUUGUUGGUUUCUAGGAUUGACGUAAUGAUUAAUAGGGAUAGUUGGGGGCAUUAGUAUUCAAUUGUCAGAGGUGAAAUUCUUGGAUUUAUUGAAGACUAACUACUGCGAAAGCAUUUGCCAAGGAUGUUUUCAUUAAUCAAGAACGAAAGUUAGGGGAUCGAAGACGAUCAGAUACCGUCGUAGUCUUAACCAUAAACUAUGCCGACUAGGGAUCG